rnacentral:rRNA from 1 species
AAUCAACGCUGGCGGCGUGCCUCAGACAUGCAAGUCGAACGAUUAAAGCUCUCUUCGGAGAGUGCAUAGAGUGGCGCACGGGUGAGUAACACGUAAGUAAUCUACCUUUGAGUGGGGAAUAACGUCCGGAAACGGACGCUAAUACCGCAUAAUGCAGCGGCAUCGCAAGAUGACAGUUGUUAAAGAUUUAUCGCUUGAAGAGGAGCUUGCGGCAGAUUAGCUAGUUGGUAAGGUAAUGGCUUACCAAGGCUACGAUCUGUAACCGGUCUAAGAGGACGGUCGGUCACACUGACACUGAAUAACGGGUCAGACUCCUACGGGAGGCAGCAGUCGGGAAUUUUGGGCAAUGGGCGAAAGCCUGACCCAGCAACGCCGCGUGAAGGAUGAAGUAUUUCGGUAUGUAAACUUCAUAAGAAUGGGACGAAUAAGU